rnacentral:lncRNA from 1 species
AUGAUUGUGAGCUGUAGUAGGGUCAAUGUUUGUACGGAAUAUUUUUUUUCUGUUUCUAACAAUUUGUAUUAGAUAUUUAGGGCCAUGUGUACGAAUCAAACUUUUUUGAUUCUAGUCGCGUCUAUCAUGCAUUUUCUCGUCGUUCCAUAUUGAUUGUCAUUGUGAAAAAAAUCAUAGGGCCAUGUGUACAAAACUGUCAUCGCCGUUUUGAAGAUAUUUAUGCCAAACCCAAUUUUUCUUGCGUUAUCUUCUGUACUUAUGUGACAGAUUAAUUACAGGAUUCCAGGGCCAUGUCUGACUUUGUUUUUGUAAAAAAUCUUUCCAAUUUUAUUAUGCCAAAUUAUUUAGGGCCAUGUGAAGUAGUGUAGAGAUCUUCUAUUCCUCCGUUCUGUAGAGAUUUCUGCAAUUAUUUUGAAAGCUGCUUGUGCAUUCAUCCCGUCUUGAGUGCGAAUCAUCGUGUAAUACACUCUAGGGUCAUGUGUUAAGUAUCCAUAGCUAUUUUGAAGCUUAAAAAAAGCUCAAAUGUUGGAUCUAAGUUUUCUUGUAUACUCUGUAUAUUCCUCACCCGCUGUAACUUCACCGUUGUUGAUGGAGUGAAAUACUCUAUAAGGCCAUGUUUAAGAAUCUACUAUUUGUCCAUGUGACAGAAGUUUUCUUGGAGAUUUAGUAUUGUUUAAAAAAAGCUCUACAUGUAUAGGGCCAUGUGCAGAUCUUACAGAUUCAUUGAAACAUGUAGCGGUCGUAAAACGUAAUAAGAAUGACGGUUUCAACGAUUCCACGAUUAUUUUGUGACAUGAAAUAGUCUCUUAUCCUUGUCGAAACGUGUCUUAUGGACAUGAAGUAUUGUUUGUGAUUUGUUCUUCCAUAAUAUCCGUUUCGCAAAGAUCGAUAAUUGCCUUUUGUGUUAGGGCCAUUGUGUCAACUUUGUUUAUUGUAAAUCAGGUGUAAUAUGAUACCUGUAGCGUCGGAUACACCUUGUAAUCGCUCUGUAAAGUGUAUAGCCUGAAUUUACAGGAUGAAACAAUGUGCAUUAAUUAAUUUAACAACCACAACAGCAGUGGAAGAUUUGAUCGAUGGUACAUUUGAAUUCUGAUAAGUCCGAUCACAGCUGGUCGGCAAUGUGAAUGUUAUAAGAUGGAAUUUUGCGUCGGGGUGAUAUAAAUCAAAUUAGGUUUUGCCCUUCACCGACGUUUUUAAACACCGUGAAUGUUGUUUCCCUUUGAACCGCGUUGCGCGUCAGUGGAUGCGCGUUGCUUUUGCGCAAACUGGAAUAUCAUCUUCGCGACCAGUAGGCCAAAUUAUCUAUUUAGAAUAACCUAACCUUUCAUUCUCAACGGUUGAAUCCAUUACAGUGGUCAGGUAAGGGCCACUAAUUGGAUUAUUUUCACUGUCUGUAUGUAAGAUGCUUUGUAUCCAAUUAGAGAUCUAAGUAGCGUAGACCUAAAGUAGGUUUCUCCUUUUUUUUCUCUAUGGUUGUAUCUUUAUAGUGGUCAGGUAACGACUACUAAUAUACGUUUCCUUCUCUUUAUACCACAGCACCGGUCACAAAUUUGAUCAGAAAGCCACUGAACAUUGUAGUUAUAAAACCUAGCUCCGCUAGGAAGACUUCUUUUAUUUUCAGCAACUUGCAAUUAGGUUAGGAGGACCGGCAAGCCGGAGUGCUCAUGUCAGGAGCUGCUGACACGGAGGAACCGGAAGCAGGGAGGAGGAACACCGAAUGACUGAAGACCCUGCUUGCUGGGCAUCCCAUUACUGAUUUCCCAGAGAUGACGGUCUGCAAGAUGAGAUGCCAUUCUGGACGAAGAUAAAAUCACUUUUGAAUCCCAAGGAACCGGAAGCAGGGAGGAGAACCGACGGAAGGACUGAAGACCCUGCUUGCAGAGCAAGUCUUCACCAAUUCUUGAGAUUCCUCUUGUUUCGUGUAAGCAGCAGAGAUGAUGACAAUAUACAUAACGGAGUGCAGUAGUUCACCAAGGCAGGAAGAUGAAUUUUGGCAACACUCGACUGAGUUUUACAAUAGCUAGAACCUGAAAAGUUCCCAUAAGUUUCUCUUAAAAAGUCGUCACAUUUUAUUAAUCCGAGGUAUGUAUAAAGACACCAUCCCAUUCAAAAUCCUUCCGAAAACCUGCUGGAUAGAUUUAAAAAGCUGUAUAUGUCAACUUAUUUAAUCAAUAGGUUUAAGUCCUACCUAAGUGGUCGUAGUCAGUCUGUGAAUAUCGAGGGCAACAUUUCAAAGGUACCGCCACUAAAAACGUUAAUGUUCCGUAGGCUAGGGGUCGAUCUUAUGUCCACUUUUAUUCAUUAUUUAUUCUGGUGAUCUAACAUCUUGUAUCCCUUGUACAACGUAUUAGUCAUCGGUGAUAUUUCUGUCAAUAUCACACUAGUUAAAAAAUGCGCUGAUCUACGGAGUUAUAAACUUGGUCACUGUUGCCAUGCACGGAAACUUCCCGUGUUUUUUCCACAAAUUUUCGCGGGGUUCUGCCCAUCCCGCAAUCGGCAAUUCGUGCCUUAUACUGGAAUGUUUAACAUGCAUUUUUACAAGCUUUAUUUGAGUAAAAAAAAAUGGUGAAGAAGUCGUGUUUGUCAGUAUUUGUCUGUUUCACAUGUGCACUUUUCCUUGUAAUUUUAGUUUGAGUAAGUUAUUUUAAAAAAUGAAUGCAGGGCCCCAAUGGAAACCCAUUUCAAACUGUUUAGGCGUACCCUUGGUAAAGAAAUGUAAUAAAUAAAUUAAUAAAUAGAUAAACAGAGGAUCAGAAAGGAAAUCAUCAGAUUUUCCAAUUUAUAGGUUAUGGGUUGUUAUUUAAAUCCCGCAAAUGGGGGAAAUGUGAUCAUUCAUUUUUCGCCCGUUCCAAGUCCAUUUUAUAGUAGCUUUCAAAUUAUCAAAUUGUUCCUCGUAUGCACAUUUAUACACUCGAUAUUUUAUUUUCUUCUCUUCAUAAUGUCAUGAUUUUAUAUAAUAAAUAUUUGAAGAGUUUA